ACGGAGAGUUUUGUAGCAAUACGGAGCUUCUCAGUGGCGAACGGGCGAGUAACGAGUUGGUGACCUGCCCCGAAGUGUGGGAUAACAGUCCGAAAGGAUUGCUAAUACCGCAUGUGAUCAUCGGUUUUAGAAUCUGAUGAUUAAAGCAGUAAUGCGCUUCGUGAGGGACCUGCUUCCCAUCAGCUAGUUGGUGAGGUAAUGGCCCACCAAGGCUACGACGGGUAAGGGACCUGAGAGGGUGGUCCCUCGCAAUGGCACUGAAACACGGGCCAUACACCUACGGGUGGCAGCAGUAGGGAAUAUUGGGCAAUGGGCGAAAGCCUGACCCAGCAACGCCGCGUGCACGAUGAAGGCCUUCGGGUCGUAAAGUGCUUUUCUGAGGGAUGAGUAAGGACAGUACCUCAGGAAUAAGCCUCGGCUAACUACGUGCCAGCAGCCGCGGUAAAACGUAGGAGGCGAGCGUUAUCCGGAUUUACUGGGCGUAAAGCGUGUGUAGGCGGUUCGGCAAGUUGGAUGUGAAAGCUCCUGGCUUAACUAGGAGAGGUCGUUCAAUACUACCAAACUUGAGGGCAUCAGAGGAAGGUGGAAUUCCCGGUGUAGUGGUGAAAUGCGUAGAUAUCGGGAGGAACACCAGUGGCGAAAGCGGCCUUCUGGGAUGCUCCUGACGCUCAGACACGAAAGCUAGGGUAGCGAACGGGAUUAGAGACCCCGGUAGUCCUAGCAGUAAACGAUGUAGACUUGGUGUCGGAGGUGUCAAAACCUUCGGUAUCGUAGCUAACGCGAUAAGUCUACCGCCUGGGGACUACGGCCGCAAGGUUAAAA
rnacentral:rRNA from 1 species